UCUAGAUGAUAAAACAUAAUUUUCUUUGAAACCGGGUCAGCAUGAGAAGAAAUUUGAUGAUAGAAGAAGCGGUCAUUUCCCGUUAUUAAUGGUUGUUGUGCCUUAUGGCUAUGAUUCUCAUGGUACUGCAACCUUUGACUACCAAAGGAGAUUUUUCUGAUGAUAUCCUUGGUAAGGUUUGUGAUGAAGUGGAAUGUGGAAAGGGAAGCUGUGUAGUGAAUACAAGUUACCCAUUAAACUUCAUGUGUGAAUGUGAAUCUGGUUGGAAGCGAACCCGAAAUGAAGAUAAUGACACAUAUGCUACUAGUUUUCUUCCAUGUGUCAUUCCUAAUUGUAGUUUGGACUAUGGUUGCCAGCCAGCGCCACCUCCAGUUCCAGAGAAGGAUGUUCCACACAAUUUAUCAGCUUUUGAUCCAUGCUACUGGGCAUACUGUGGGGUAGGUGAAUGCACAAAGAACAAGACAUAUACAUAUGGCUGUAAAUGCAACCCCAGUUACUACAAUCUUCUCAACAUCUCUGUUUUUCCUUGUUACAGUGAAUGUACUUUGGGAUCUGAUUGUUCUAGACUUGGAAUUAAAGUUGAAAAGUCAACCAGUAGCACUGGUGAUGGCACUAGCCAAGGUGAGAUUGGACUCUACUCAUACUUUUCAUGGUUAUUGUCCUAAUUCUUUAUUAAAAUUUGUUUGCAAGAUAAAUUUUGGACAAGAAAGAGAAAAAAAGUCUUACAGUCAUUUUACAAGUAUAUUUCAAGUUAUUCUUUGUCUUUUAGAAUCCUUAAAAACCAAUUCUACACUCAAACAUUCAAUAAGGUAUGUCUGUUUUAUGUAUUUUCCUCAGCAAGCUCAACCAUUCAUCAAUGGUUCAAUUGGAUAGUUAUGUUGUUCAUGUCCACUGGUAUGGUAAUGUGGAUCUAGUACACAAAGAGAUUACUUGUUCUUGGUGGCACUGUGCCUAGCAUUGUUUGAUGAAUUAUUAUGUGAUUCAGUGAUUGUUAUCCAUGGUUCUUUUGUGUAAUAAUAGUAGCCUCAUUUUAUUAGCAUGCAUAAUAUACAUUUGGGCAUAGACAUUUUUGCCUAACCUUAGUCUACCAAAAAUAAAAAUACAAGGUUCAGUCAUCAACAUAAGAUGACUAGUGUAUAGUACAGUGAAUAUAUACAUAUUAUGUAUAAUAUUGUUGCAGUGUUGC
rnacentral:lncRNA from 1 species